rnacentral:rRNA from 1 species
UUGGUCAAGGUGAGUGGCGAACGGGUGAGUAACACGUGGGUAACCUACCUCAUAGUGGGGGAUAACAGUCGGAAACGACUGCUAAUACCGCAUAGGACAUGGGAUCACAUGAUUCUGUGAGGAAAGGUGGCGCAAGCUAUCGCUAAGAGAUGGACCCGCGGUGCAUUAGCUAGUUGGUAGGGUAACGGCCUACCAAGGCGAUGAUGCAUAGCCGACCUGAGAGGGUGAUCGGCCACAUUGGGACUGAGACACGGCCCAAACUCC